UUGCAGGUCAUUGUCAGCGAGGCUUAGCCUACAGUGGCUCUGUCCUUUCCUAAAGUGUCUGCUAGAAUGAACUGAGAUGGUUUGAGGCCUUGCUGUGUUUCUUCCAUGGCAAGGUUAUAGGUAAACCUCAGACAAAU
rnacentral:snoRNA from 1 species